rnacentral:rRNA from 1 species
CACGUAGGGCGCAAGCGUUGUCCGGAAUUAUUGGGCGUAAAGAGCUCGUAGGCGGUUUGUCGCGUCGACUGUGAAAACCCGAGGCUUAACCUCGGGCCUGCAGUCGAUACGGGCAGACUAGAGUUCGGUAGGGGAGACUGGAAUUCCUGGUGUAGCGGUGAAAUGCGCAGAUAUCAGGAGGAACACCGAUGGCGAAGGCAGGUCUCUGGGCCGAUACUGACGCUGAGGAGCGAAAGCGUGGGGAGCGAACAGG